rnacentral:rRNA from 1 species
UACGUAGGGUGCAAGCGUUAAUCGGAAUUACUGGGCGUAAAGCGUGCGCAGGCGGUUCGGAAAGAGAGGUGUGAAAUCCCAGGGCUUAACUUUGGAACUGCACUUUUAACUACCGGGCUAGAGUACGUCAGAGGGGGGUAGAAUUCCACGUGUAGCAGUGAAAUGCGUAGAGAUGUGGAGGAAUACCGAUGGCGAAGGCAGCCCCCUGGGAUGAUACUGACGCUCAUGCACGAAAGCGUGGGGAGCAAACAGG